rnacentral:tRNA from 1 species
GGACGAGUAACUCAGCUUGGGUUAGAGUGUCCGGCUCAUAACUGGAAAUGCGUAAGUUCAAAUCUUACCUCGUCCACCA